CCUACGGGGGGCUGCAGUGGGGAAUAUUGGACAAUGGGCGAAAGCCUGAUCCAGCCAUGCCGCGUGUGUGAAGAAGGCCUUCGGGUUGUAAAGCACUUUCAGUGGGGAAGAAAGCCUUGGGGCUAAUACCCUCGAGGAAGGACAUCACCCACAGAAGAAGCACCGGCCAACUCCGUGCCAGCAGCCGCGGUAAUACGGAGGGUGCGAGCGUUAAUCGGAAUUACUGGGCGUAAAGCGCGCGUAGGCGGUCUGAUAAGCCGGUUGUGAAAGCCCCGGGCUCAACCUGGGAACGGCAUCCGGAACUGUCAGGCUAGAGUGCAGGAGAGGAAGGUAGAAUUCCCGGUGUAGCGGUGAAAUGCGUAGAGAUCGGGAGGAAUACCAGUGGCGAAGGCGGCCUUCUGGACUGACACUGACGCUGAGGUGCGAAAGCGUGGGUAGCAAACAGGAUUAGAUACCCCGGUAGUC
rnacentral:rRNA from 1 species